UGGCUGUGAUGACUGAUUACAUUUCUCGAUUCUGAGAUAUUAAAGUUAUGGACCAAAUUGAUGACCUUUUUGUGCGUGUCUGAGCCAA